rnacentral:rRNA from 1 species
AGUGAACGCUGGCGGUAGGCCUAACACAUGCAAGUCGAACGGCAGCACAGUAAGAGCUUGCUCUUACGGGUUGCGAGUGGCGGACGGGUGAGGAAUACAUCGGAAUCUACUUUUUCGUGGGGGAUAACGUAGGGAAACUUACGCUAAUAUCGCAUACGACCUUCGGGUGAAAGCAGGGGAUCUUCUGACCUUGCGCGAUUGAAUGAGCCGAUGUCGGAUUAGCUAGUUGGCGGGGUAAAGGCCCACCAAGGCGACGAUCCGUAGCUGGACUGAGAGGAUGAUCGGCCACACUGGAACUGAGACACGGUCCAGACUCCUACGGGAGGCAGCAGUGGGGAAUAUUGGACAAUGGGGGCAAGCCUGAUACAGCCAUACCGAGUGGGUGAAGAAGGCGUUCGGGUUGUAAAGCCCUUUUGUUGGGAAAGAAAAGCAGCAGGUUAAUACCCCGCUGUUCUGACGGUAACCAAAGAAUAAGCACCGGCUAACUUCGUG